rnacentral:rRNA from 1 species
CCUACGGGAGGCAGCAGUGGGGAAUAUUGGGCAAUGGAGGCAACUCUGACCCAGCAACGCCGCGUGAAUGAUGAAGGUCUUCGGAUUGUAAAGUUCUGUGAUGGGGGAUGAACACAAUGACGGUACCCCAAUAGCAAGCCACGGCUACCUACGUGCCAGCAGCCGCGGUAAUACGUAGGUGGCAAGCGUUAUCCGGAAUGACUGGGCGUAAAGGGGGCGUAGGUGGUUUAGUAAGUUGGCGGUGUAAUUCCGGGGCUCAACCUCGGCGCUACCGCCAAAACUAUUAGACUAGAGUGCAGGAGGGGUAAGUGGAAUUCCUAGUGUAGCGGUGGAAUGCGUAGAUAUUAGGAGGAACAUCAGGGGCGAAGGCGACUUACUGGACUGUAACUGACACUGAGGCACGAAAGCGUGGGGAGCAAACAGGAUUAAAUACCCUUGUAGUC